CAGCAGCCACGGGAAUACGUAGGGUGCAAGCGUUAAUCGGAAUUACUGGGCGUAAAGCGUGCGCAGGCGGUUAUAUAAGACAGAUGUGAAAUCCCCGGGCUCAACCUGGGAACUGCAUUUGUGACUGUAUAGCUAGAGUACGGCAGAGGGGGAUGGAAUUCCGCGUGUAGCAGUGAAAUGCGUAGAUAUGCGGAGGAACACCGAUGGCGAAGGCAAUCCCCUGGGCCUGUACUGACGCUCAUGCACGAAAGCGUGGGGAGCAAAUGGGAUUAGAGACCCCCGUAGUCCCUGUCUCUUAUAC
rnacentral:rRNA from 1 species